UACGUAGGUGGCAAGCGUUAUCCGGAAUUAUUGGGCGUAAAGCGCGCGUAGGCGGUUUUUUAAGUCUGAUGUGAAAGCCCACGGCUCAACCGUGGAGGGUCAUUGGAAACUGGAAAACUUGAGUGCAGAAGAGGAAAGUGGAAUUCCAUGUGUAGCGGUGAAAUGCGCAGAGAUAUGGAGGAACACCAGUGGCGAAGGCGACUUUCUGGUCUGUAACUGACGCUGAUGUGCGAAAGCGUGGGGAUCAAACAG
rnacentral:rRNA from 2 species